rnacentral:tRNA from 2 species
GCAGGGAUGGCAGAGCGGUUAAAUGCACCGGUUUCGAAAACCGGAGUCUGAAAAGACGCGGGAGUUCGAAUCUCUCUCCCUGCG